CACGUAGGGGCAAGCGUUGUCCGGAAAUUAUUGGGCGUAAAGAGCUCGUAGGCGGUUCGUCGCGUCGGCUGUGGAAAAUCCCGAGGCUCAACCUCGGGUCUGCAGUCGAUACGGGGCGGACUAGAGUUCGGCAGGGGAGACUGGAAUUCCUGGAUGUAGCGGUGAAAUGCGCAGAUAUCAGGAGGAACACCGGUGGCGAAGGCGGUUCUCUGGGCAUGUCCUGACGUGAGGAGCGAAAGCGUGGGGAGCGAACAGG
rnacentral:rRNA from 1 species